ACAUUGGAGUAAGGUAUAUAAACAUUUCAACGACCAGAGAAUAUAUAUCACUUUCAACCGUGAGCUCCAAGAAUCGUUAACAGCAGUAAAGAUGACUUUUGCAUCAGCUUUCAUCGUGGCAGUUGCUACCUUUCUGGCACUUGUAGAUUACACGGUUGCCAAACCCAACACAACAGGGGCCAGUAAGUGAUGGGAGUUAACUCGAAAAUGUGACGCAGUUUAAGGUGUGCAUGUAACAUAUUGAGUUAAGAAAAUAAAACAAGAAAAUACAAAA